rnacentral:rRNA from 1 species
AGUAAACGCUGGCGGUAGGCCUAACACAUGCAAGUCGAACGGCAGCACAGUAAGAGCUUGCUCUUACGGGUGGCGAGUGGCGGACGGGUGAGGAAUACAUCGGAAUCUACUUUUUCGUGGGGGAUAACGUAGGGAAACUUACGCUAAUACCGCAUACGACCUACGGGUGAAAGCAGGGGAUCUUCGGACCUUGCGCGAUUGAAUGAGCCGAUGUCGGAUUAGCUAGUUGGCGGGGUAAAGGCCCACCAAGGCGACGAUCCGUAGCUGGUCUGAGAGGAUGAUCAGCCACACUGGAACUGAGACACGGUCCAGACUCCUACGGGAGGCAGCAGUGGGGAAUAUUGGACAAUGGGCGCAAGCCUGAUCCAGCCAUACCGCGUGGGUGAAGAAGGCCUUCGGGUUGUAAAGCCCUUUUGUUGGGAAAGAAAAGCAGCAGGUUAAUACCCCGCUGUUCUGACGGUACCCAAAGAAUAAGCACCGGCUAACUUCGU